rnacentral:lncRNA from 1 species
CUUUUUUUUUUUUUUUUUUUUUUAAUAUGUUUCUGUUGGGUGAUGGGAGCUUGGAGCUGUCUUACUCUGCCCUUUUGCUGAUAUCAUUCCUCAAUUAUAUUUUAAAGAGAUUUAAAAAGGAAAAACAGGCAUAUAUAUUUACUCAGGUAGUUACCAUUUUCAAUGCCUGUCAUUCCUUUCAUUCCUUUGUGUAGAUCCAGAUUUCCAUCUGGUAUUUUUCUUCUGCCUGAAAGACAUCCCUUAACAUUUCUUAUAGUGUUUGUUGGUGAUGAAUUCUUUCAGCUUUUUAUUUAUUGUUUGAGAGUCUUGCUCUGUCACCCAGGCUGGAGUGCAAUGACACAAUUAUGGCUCACUGGAGCCUUGACCUUCCAGGCUCAAGCAAACCUCCCAGGCUCAGCCUCCCAAGUAACUGAGACUCCAGGCGUGUGCCACUAUGCUUGGCUAUUUUUGUAUUUUUUUUAGAGACAGGUUCUUACUAUGUUGCCCGGGCUGGUCUCGAACUCUGAGGCUCAAGCGAUCUGCCCACCUCAGCCUUAAAGUGUCUUCCAGCUUUUAUGUGUCUGAAAAUAUCUUUAUUUCACUUCGCUAAAAUAUAUUUUCAUCACACAUAAAAUUCUAGGUUUGCAGUUUUUGCCUUCAGCACUUUAAAGAUCAAGUUGCACUGCUGUCUUCUCACUUGCACUAUUUCUGACAAGAAAUUUGGUAUCAUUCUUAUCUUUGUUCCUGUGUAAAUAACAUGUACUGUUUUCCCAGCUGCCUUCAGGAUUUGAUCUAUAUCAUUGGUUUUGAGCAAUUUGAUUAUGUGACUUGUUACAGUUUUCUUUGUAUUUCUUGUACUUGAUGUUGAGCUUUGGGUCUGUGGGUUUAUAUUUUUCAUUAUGUUUGGAAAAUGUUUGGCCAUUAUUUCUUCUAAUAUUUUUCUAUGUCUCAGCUUUGUAAACAUGUGGGAUAUAGUUAAAAUUAAUGUUAAUGUCUUUCUCUGCUUAUUUUAAUAUGUGUCAGUUUGGGGUUAGUUUGGAUCAAAAUAAGGAUUGAUUGGUUGUUCUUAU